AGAUUGAACGCUGGCGGCAGGCCUAACACAUGCAAGUCGAGCGGCAGCACGGGUACUUGUACCUGGUGGCGAGCGGCGGACGGGUGAGUAAUGCCUAGGAAUCUGCCUGGUAGUGGGGGAUAACGCUCGGAAACGGACGCUAAUACCGCAUACGUCCUACGGGAGAAAGCAGGGGACCUUCGGGCCUUGCGCUAUCAGAUGAGCCUAGGUCGGAUUAGCUAGUUGGUGAGGUAAUGGCUCACCAAGGCGACGAUCCGUAACUGGUCUGAGAGGAUGAUCAGUCACACUGGAACUGAAGACACGGUCCAG
rnacentral:rRNA from 1 species